GCCAGCAUGCCCUUCGGGGUGAUGGGGACUCACAGGAGACCGCCGGGGUCAACUCGGAGGAAGGUGGGGACGACGUCAACUCAUCAUGCCCCUUAUGUCUUGGGCUGCACACGUGCUACAAUGGCCGGUACAAUGAGCUGCGAAACCGUGAGGUGGAGCGAAUCUCAAAAAGCCGGUCUCAGUUCGGAUUGGGGUCUGCAACUCGACCCCAUGAAGUCGGAGUUGCUAGUAAUCGCAGAUCAGCAUUGCUGCGGUGAAUACGUUCCCGGGCCUUGUACACACCGCCCGUCACGUCACGAAAGUCGGUAACACCCGAAGCCGGUGGCCCAACCCCUUGUGGGAGGGAGCUGUCGAAGGUGGGACUGGCGAUUGGGACGAA
rnacentral:rRNA from 1 species